rnacentral:rRNA from 1 species
GACGAACGCUGGCGGCGUGCUUAACACAUGCAAGUCGAACGCUGAAGCUUGGUGCUUGCACUGGGUGGAUGAGUGGCGAACGGGUGAGUAAUACGUGAGUAACCUGCCCUUGACUCUGGGAUAAGCCUGGGAAACUGGGUCUAAUACUGGAUAUGACAUGCCACUGCAUGGUGGUGUGUGGAAAGGGUUUUACUGGUUUUGGAUGGGCUCACGGCCUAUCAGCUUGUUGGUGGGGUAAUGGCCUACCAAGGCGACGACGGGUAGCCGGCCUGAGAGGGUGAGGGGCAACGCUGGGCGGGACACGCGGCCAGGCCUCAUCGGGGGGGGAGGGGGGGGAAAUAUGGAAAAAGGGGGGGAGGCUGGCUGAGGCGACGCGGCGGGGGGGAGGAGGCCUUGGGGUGUUAAAACCUCUUCAGGAGGGGAAGAGGGGAGAGGGAGGGAAGGUGAAAAAGAGGCGCCGGCAAACUACGUC